rnacentral:misc_RNA from 1 species
GAUGAAGAACGUAGCGAAAUGCGAUAAGUAAUGUGAAUUGCAGAAUUCAGUGAAUCAUCGAAUCUUUGAACGCGCAUUGCGCCCGCCAGUAUUCUGGCGGGCAUGCCUGUUCGAGCGUCAUUACAACCCUCAGGCCCCCGGGCCUGGCGUUGGGGAUCGGCGGAAGCCCCCUGUGGGCACACGCCGUCCCUCAAAUACAGUGGCGGUCCCGCCGCAGCUUCCAUUGCGUAGUAGCUAACACCUCGCAACUGGAGAGCGGCGCGGCCAUGCCGUAAAACACCCAACUUCUGAAUGUUGACCUCGAAUCAGGUAGGAAUACCCGCUGAACUUAAGCAUAUCAAUAAGCGGAGGA